rnacentral:rRNA from 1 species
CCGGUGACAGGUGCUGCAUGGCUGUCGUCAGCUCGUGUCGUGAGAUGUUGGGUUAAGUCCCGCAACGAGCGCAACCCUUGUCUUUAAUUGCCAUCAUUUAGUUGGGUCGACUUUAAAGUAAGACUGCCGGUGGUUAAGACCGGAGGAAGUGGGAUGACGUCAAGUCCUCAUGGCCUUUAUGCUUAGGGCUACACACGUGCUACAAUGGGUGGUACAAAGAGAAGCCAACUCGCGAGAGCGCGCCAAUCUCAAAAAGCCAUCCUCAGUUCGGAUUGGAGUCUGCAACUCGACUCCAUGAAGUUGGAAUCGCUAGUAAUCGCGGAUCAGCAUGCCGCGGUCGAAUACGUUCCCGGGCCUU